rnacentral:rRNA from 1 species
GGUUAAGCGACUAAGCGUACACGGUGGAUGCCCUGGCAGUCAGAGGCGAUGAAGGACGUGCUAAUCUGCGAAAAGCGUCGGUAAGGUGAUAUGAACCGUUAUAGCCGGCGAUGUCCGAAUGGGGAAACCCAGUGCAAUUCGUUGCACUAUCGUUAACUGAAUACAUAGGUUAACGAGGCGAACCGGGGGAACUGAAACAUCUAAGUACCCCGAGGAAAAGAAAUCAACCGAGAUUCCCCCAGUAGCGGCGAGCGAACGGGGAGCAGCCCAGAGUCUGAAUCAGCUUGUGUGUUAGUGGAACGGUCUGGAAAGUCCGACGGUACAGGGUGAUAGUCCCGUACACCAAAAUGCACAGGUUGUGAACUCGAAGAGUAGGGCGGGACACGUGGUAUCCUGUCUGAAUAUGGGGGGACCAUCCUCCAAGGCUAAAUACUCCUGACUGACCGAUAGUGAACCAGUACCGUGAGGGAAAGGCGAAAAGAACCCCGGCGAGGGGAGUGAAAAAGAACCUGAAACCGUGUACGUACAAGCAGUGGGAGCACCUUCGGGUGUGACUGCGUACCUUUUGUAUAAUGGGUCAGCGACUUAUAUUCUGUAGCAAGGUUAACCGUAUAGGGGAGCCGCAGGGAAACCGAGUCUUAACUGGGCGUUAAGUUGCAGGGUAUAGACCCGAAACCCGGUGAUCUAGCCAUGGGCAGGUUGAAGGUUGGGUAACACUAACUGGAGGACCGAACCGACUAAUGUUGAAAAAUUAGCGGAUGACUUGUGGCUGGGGGUGAAAGGCCAAUCAAACCGGGAGAUAGCUGGUUCUCCCCGAAAGCUAUUUAGGUAGCGCCUCGUGAAUUCAUCUUCGGGGGUAGAGCACUGUUUCGGCUAGGGGGUCAUCCCGACUUACCAACCCGAUGCAAACUACGAAUACCGAAGAAUGUUAUCACGGGAGACACACGGCGGGUGCUAACGUCCGUCGUGAAGAGGGAAACAACCCAGACCGCCAGCUAAGGUCCCAAAGUCAUGGUUAAGUGGGAAACGAUGUGGGAAGGCACAGACAGCCAGGAUGUUGGCUUAGAAGCAGCCAUCAUUUAAAGAAAGCGUAAUAGCUCACUGGUCGAGUCGGCCUGCGCGGAAGAUGUAACGGGGCUAAACCAUGCACCGAAGCUGCGGCAGCGACACUAUGUGUUGUUGGGUAGGGGAGCGUUCUGUAAGCCUGCGAAGGUGUGCUGUGAGGCAUGCUGGAGGUAUCAGAAGUGCGAAUGCUGACAUAAGUAACGAUAAAGCGGGUGAAAAGCCCGCUCGCCGGAAGACCAAGGGUUCCUGUCCAACGUUAAUCGGGGCAGGGUGAGUCGACCCCUAAGGCGAGGCCGAAAGGCGUAGUCGAUGGGAAACAGGUUAAUAUUCCUGUACUUGGUGUUACUGCGAAGGGGGGACGGAGAAGGCUAUGUUAGCCGGGCGACGGUUGUCCCGGUUUAAGCAUGUAGGCUGGUUAUCCAGGCAAAUCCGGAUAAUCAAGGCUGAGGUGUGAUGACGAGGCACUACGGUGCUGAAGUAACAAAUGCCCUGCUUCCAGGAAAAGCCUCUAAGCAUCAGGUAACAUCAAAUCGUACCCCAAACCGACACAGGUGGUCAGGUAGAGAAUACCAAGGCGCUUGAGAGAACUCGGGUGAAGGAACUAGGCAAAAUGGUGCCGUAACUUCGGGAGAAGGCACGCUGGUGUGUAGGUGAAGUCCCUGCGGAUGGAGCUGAGACCAGUCGAAGAUACCAGCUGGCUGCAACUGUUUAUUAAAAACACAGCACUGUGCAAACACGAAAGUGGACGUAUACGGUGUGACGCCUGCCCGGUGCCGGAAGGUUAAUUGAUGGGGUUAUCCGUAAGGAGAAGCUCUUGAUCGAAGCCCCGGUAAACGGCGGCCGUAACUAUAACGGUCCUAAGGUAGCGAAAUUCCUUGUCGGGUAAGUUCCGACCUGCACGAAUGGCGUAAUGAUGGCCAGGCUGUCUCCACCCGAGACUCAGUGAAAUUGAACUCGCUGUGAAGAUGCAGUGUACCCGCGGCAAGACGGAAAGACCCCGUGAACCUUUACUAUAGCUUGACACUGAACAUUGAGCCUUGAUGUGUAGGAUAGGUGGGAGGCUUUGAAGCGUGGACGCCAGUCUGCGUGGAGCCAACCUUGAAAUACCACCCUUUAAUGUUUGAUGUUCUAACGUUGGCCCCUUACCGGGGUUGCGGACAGUGUCUGGUGGGUAGUUUGACUGGGGCGGUCUCCUCCCAAAGCGUAACGGAGGAGCACGAAGGUUAGCUAAUCCUGGUCGGACAUCAGGAGGUUAGUGCAAUGGCAUAAGCUAGCUUGACUGCGAGCGUGACGGCGCGAGCAGGUGCGAAAGCAGGUCAUAGUGAUCCGGUGGUUCUGAAUGGAAGGGCCAUCGCUCAACGGAUAAAAGGUACUCCGGGGAUAACAGGCUGAUACCGCCCAAGAGUUCAUAUCGACGGCGGUGUUUGGCACCUCGAUGUCGGCUCAUCACAUCCUGGGGCUGAAGUAGGUCCCAAGGGUAUGGCUGUUCGCCAUUUAAAGUGGUACGCGAGCUGGGUUUAGAACGUCGUGAGACAGUUCGGUCCCUAUCUGCCGUGGGCGCUGGAGAAUUGAGGGGGGCUGCUCCUAGUACGAGAGGACCGGAGUGGACGCAUCACUGGUGUUCGGGUUGUCAUGCCAAUGGCACUGCCCGGUAGCUAAAUGCGGAAGAGAUAAGUGCUGAAAGCAUCUAAGCACGAAACUUGCCCCGAGAUGAGUUCUCCCUGAGACUUUAAGUCUCCUGAAGGAACGUUGAAGACGACGACGUUGAUAGGCCGGGUGUGUAAGCGCAGCGAUGCGUUGAGCUAACCGGUACUAAUGAACCGUGAGGCUUAACCUU